rnacentral:rRNA from 1 species
UACGGAGGGUGCGAGCGUUGUCCGGAAUCACUGGGCGUAAAGGGCGCGUAGGUGGCUCGUGAAGCGUGCGGUGAAAGUCCGAGGCUCAACCUCGGAUCGGCCGUGCGGACUCGCGGGCUCGAGCGUUGUAGAGGCGGGUGGAAUUCCGGGUGUAGCGGUGGAAUGCGUAGAGAUCCGGAAGAACACCGGUGGCGAAGGCGGUUGGCUGGGCCACAACUGACACUGAUGCGCGACAGCGUGGGGAGCAAACAGG